rnacentral:lncRNA from 1 species
GUGAGCCACCAUGCCCGGCCAUGACUGGCUUAUCUCAUUUAGCAAAAUGACUCAAGAUUUACUCAUGUUGUAGCAUGUGACAGGAUUUCCUUCCUUUUUAAGGCUGAAUCAUAUUUCACUGUAUGUAUAUACUACAUUUUGUUUAUCCAUUCUUCCUUUGAUGGACACUUGGUUUGCUCCCACCUCUUGGCUAUUGUGAAUAAGCUUCUAUAAACAAGGGUGUGCAAAUAUUUCUUUGAGGCCCUGCUUCCCAUUCUUUUGGAUAUAUAUCCAGAAGUGAGAUUGCUGGGUCAUAGAGUUGUUCUGUUUUUAAUUUUUUAAAGGAACUUCCAUGCUAUUUUCCACAGUGGCUGUGCCAUUUUACAGUCCCAUCAACAAUGCGUAAAGGUUCCAAUUUCUCCACAUUCUCACCAACACGUGUUAUUUUCUGAAUUUAGAGCUACAUGAGGUUUUUUGGGUCAGAAUAAAGGACAAUUGCCCUGGAACAACCAACACAGGCUCUUCAACUUUUAAGUUCCUCAUUUUUGAAGAAAGUUUCCAACCACCGACUUGUGGUUCAUUGGUCAUUGGCCAACCUGACAUUCUGACUCUUAAGUGGGGAGUUUUAUGGAUGUGUGUGAAUAACUAGUGGGACCAUGUUCUCCAGCAGCUUCUGAAGAUCAGAGAACAGAGAAACUUAAAGAUAGAACUCCAGGCCAGGCGUGGCAGUUCACGCCUUUAAUCCCAGCACCUUGGGAGGCCGAGGCGGGUGGAUCACCUGAGGUCUGGAGCUCGAGACCAGCCUGGCCAACAUGGAGAAAACCUGUCUCUACUAAAAACACAAAAAUUAGCCGGGCCUGAUGGCUGCCUGUAAUCCCAGCUACUCAGGAGGCUGAGGCAGGAGAAUGUCUUGAAACUGGAGGCAGAGGUUGCAGUGAG